rnacentral:lncRNA from 1 species
CCUUUCUUUCUCUAAGGCCAUAUUCGUCACAUUUUUUAAAAUAUUCUCUAAGUCUACUUCUACGGUUAGAAUAAAAAAGCCAAUUAAGAGCGAAUUUACCCUUUUCAAUUUUUAUGUUUAAAAUUCUCAUACCAUCACCAACAAUUAAAUGAUAAAAUAUGACAUUUCUAGGUUGGCUACUACUUUGAACUUGUUUAUCUUUUCUAGGUCGGGGAGCCGGGGGAGGGGUAGUAUUUUGGCGACUACUUUCACCGGUUUUAGAUUUUCCUUUUCAGAACAUAUUUUUCAAUGAAAAUGCCAUAAUAAUUACAAUUAAGCAAAAUAACAACACAAAAAAAUAUUCUUAGCACGUAAGAGUUGAAACAAGUUUACCGGAUUGACGAAC